UUCUACCUGAUGGAUAGCUUGCAAUCUGAUGCUCUUUUUUUUCAGGAAUCUCCAGUUCCCAGAUAGUCUUGGCUGCCGGCCCUGCUGCUGCUGCUUACUAACAGUCUGGACCGCAGGGGAGGCUAGAGUCUUCCUCCAGGGGGCAGGGACGCUACCAGCUGGGUUGUUGAGGGAUGGAGCUUGCCUCGGGGUAACCCUCUUGUACUUUCUUCAAGGGAAAAUUCCCCAUUUCUCCGUUUCCCAUCGGCUGGCUUGUGACUUAAAAAGACACGCUUUAGUGUGAAAAGCCAUGAGUCUUACUCAUGCUGCAGUUCAAAGCAGAACAGGUGGGGCCGUCACUGUGAUUCAACGUGGAGUCACAAAGCCGUCCAGUGUCUCAUGUCCUGACAGUAUUUUACGUUCAAACAUGCGGAAAAGAGAUCCUCUGUUACUACGUAAAGAUUGAUAGACUUUAACAUGGUAGGAUAGAUAUGUCAAGCCCACUGAGCCAGUUAAUGUAAUAUACAGACUUAUCCAUUACCUCUAGCCAUAGGGUGCAUCAUCUCCCCCCGAUGACCUUCUUAGUUAAAUUAACAUCUCCUAAUCUCCAACUCUUAAAAGCAAAUGAUAUAAGAACUAAACAAUUAACAAUUAAAACUGUUGUUAUUACUAGAAAAGGUUUUAUAUACAGUCUAUUGUAAAUACUGUUAGACAGCAGAUUAUCCAUCAAAAACUAUUGUUGAUCAACUUUCUCCUUUUUAAAACAUUAUUCAAUCCACUGUACAGUGGAUGUAAAUUAUCACUGGAUACGAUUUACCACACAGCUUCUCUACAGUUUUCUUUCAUUUAUAAGGCGUUUAUAAGGGAUUUUUAAGUUUACUUGUUUAAGAAUAUUCUUUUUCAUCUUUAUUGUUGAAUACAAAGCUAAUGACAGCAGAUUAUAACAUUAACAUUGUUUUGCAUCUACGGUAUGCAGAACACUUUACUUUAACCCAUCCAUCCAUUCAUCCAUCCAUCUUCAUCCGCUUAUCAGUAUUGGGUCGCGGGGGCAGCAGCUCCUUUGCUUUAAACCCCCUCCCCUAUUUAGCUUUUAUAACCAGUUUAUUAACAUGCAAAACAUGGUUUACACACUGUCAUUGUAAGCAGAUAUGGACACAUUUUCAAGUGUUUAUCAAUGUACAGUAUUAGUCGAUAUUAUAACCUAUCCCAUGAGGACAUAUUUUAAUGUUAUUUAUUGUUUGUUUGUACAUCAGCCUCUACGUACUGUUGACUUAUACAUUUAUAGAGUUUUAAACAUUUAUCAAAUGUUUUUAUACUGCUUAUCAGUUUUUAGAUGUAAAAGUGUCACAGAGGCAUUUAUUCAUCUCAGGGACUUAGUUUUCCUUAAUGACAUUUUUAAUAAUUUGAAUUUCUCUCUUAUGUGUAAUGGCCAUUUUAUGAGACUGUCUCAUGUCACUUGUGUGUUUGUAAUUAGUUCU